rnacentral:tRNA from 1 species
UCUAAUAUGGCAGACUAGUGCGCUGAAUUUAAGCUUCAAUUAUGAGGGCUCCCUCUUUUAGAA